rnacentral:piRNA from 1 species
UGUGAAAUGCCGUGGCCAUUCUUGGGGUC